AUGAAACACUCCUACGGGAGGCAGCAGUGGGGAGUUUUGGACAAUGGGCGCAAGCCUGAUCCAGCCAUGCCGCGUGUCUGAAGAAGGCCUUCGGGUUGUAAAGGACUUUUGUCAGGGAAGAAAAGGCUGCUGCUAAUACCGACAGCUUAUGACGGUACCUGAAGAAUAAGCACCGGCUAACUACGUACCAGCAGCCGCGGUAAUACGUAGGGUGCGAGCGUUAAUCGGAAUUACUGGGCGUAAAGCGAGCGCAGACGGUUACUUAAGCAGGAUGUGAAAUCCCCGGGCUCAACCUGGGAACUGCGUUCUGAACUGGGUGACUAGAGUGUGUCAGAGGGAGGUAGAAUUCCACGUGUAGCAGUGAAAUGCGUAGAGAUGUGGAGGAAUACCGAUGGCGAAGGCAGCCUCCUGGGAUAACACUGACGUUCAUGCUCGAAAGCGUGGGUAGCAAACAGGAUUAGAAACCCCUGUAGUCCGAAGUUC
rnacentral:rRNA from 1 species